rnacentral:rRNA from 1 species
AAAAGCGGAGGAAAAGAAACCAACCGGGAUUGCCUUAGUAACGGCGAGUGAAGCGGCAAAAGCUCAAAUUUGAAAUCUGGUACCUUCGGUGCCCGAGUUGUAAUUUGGAGAGGGCAACUUUGGGGCCGUUCCUUGUCUAUGUUCCUUGGAACAGGACGUCAUAGAGGGUGAGAAUCCCGUGUGGCGAGGAGUGCGGUUCUUUGUAAAGUGCCUUCGAAGAGUCGAGUUGUUUGGGAAUGCAGCUCUAAGUGGGUGGUAAAUUCCAUCUAAAGCUAAAUAUUGGCGAGAGACCGAUAGCGAACAAGUACAGUGAUGGAAAGAUGAAAAGAACUUUGAAAAGAGAGUGAAAAAGUACGUGAAAUUGUUGAAAGGGAAGGGCAUUUGAUCAGACAUGGUGUUUUGUGCCCUCUGCUCCUUGUGGGUAGGGGAAUCUCGCAUUUCACUGGGCCAGCAUCAGUUUUGGUGGCAGGAUAAAUCCAUAGGAAUGUAGCUUGCCUCGGUAAGUAUUAUAGCCUGUGGGAAUACUGCCAGCUGGGACUGAGGACUGCGACGUAAGUCAAGGAUGCUGGCAUAAUGGUUAUAUGCCGCCCGUCUUGACCCA